CGCGUAGGUGGUUUGAUAAGCGAGAUGUGAAAGCCCCGGGCUUAACCUGGGAACGGCAUUUCGAACUGUCAGGCUAGAGUAUGGUAGAGGAGUGUGGAAUUUCCUGUGUAGCGGCGAAAUGCGUAGAUAUAGGAAGGAACACCAGUGGCGAAGGCGGCACUCUGGACCAAUACUGACACUGAGGUGCGAAAGCGUGGGGAGCAAACA
rnacentral:rRNA from 1 species